rnacentral:rRNA from 1 species
CAGCAACUUGCAGGAAUGAGAGUUAAUAUAAUAAGUUUAUUAACUUGCUUGACUAGGUCUUAUAAAGUUCUGGAUAAAGCUUAUUAUGAAAACUUUAUAUCCAUAGGUCUCGACCAAAUCUUGUGCCAGCAGUCGCGGUAAGACAAGGGAGACGAGUGUUAUUCAUCUUUAACAGGUAUAUAGGGUACCUAGACGGUGUGCAAUGGCUUAAAUAAGUACCUGGUACACUUGAGUUUGAUAUGUGAGAGGAAUAUGUCGGAAUUGUUGGAGGAAAGAUGAAAUUUGUUAAUACCAAUAGGACUGAUAACGGCGAAGGCAAACCUCUAUGUACAUGUACUUGCUAUCUCUCUAUUAGAGAGGAACAGAAAUUUCUCUUAUAAAAAAUCUUAUAUAAAAAAAGAGGAAAACAGCAAUGUGCUAUAACUGACGUUGAGGGACGAAGGCUCGGAUAGCGAAUAGGAUUAGAUACCCCAGUAGUCCGGGCAGACAAUGACGAAUGCCAUAGGUUGGCUUUAAGGCGGAACUAUAAA